GAUGAACGCUGGCGGCGUGCUUAACACAUGCAAGUCGAACGAAGCACUGAAAGCAGAUUACUUUGGUUUGAAGCUUUCUUUGACUGAGUGGCGGACGGGUGAGUAACGCGUGGGUAACCUGCCUCAUACAGGGGGAUAACAGUUAGAAAUGACUGCUAAUACCGCAUAAGCGCACAGGACCGCAUGGUCCGGUGUGAAAAACUCCGGUGGUAUGAGAUGGACCCGCGUCUGAUUAGCUGGUUGGUGAGGUAACGGCCCACCAAGGCGACGAUCAGUAGCCGGCCUGAGAGGGUGAACGGCCACAUUGGGACUGAGACACGGCCCAA
rnacentral:rRNA from 1 species